rnacentral:rRNA from 1 species
CAACGCUGGCGGCGUGCCUAAUACAUGCAAGUCGUACGCUUCUUUUUCCACCGGAGCUUGCUCCACCGGAAAAAGAAGAGUGGCGAACGGGUGAGUAACACGUGGGUAACCUGCCCAUCAGAAGGGGAUAACACUUGGAAACAGGUGCUAAUACCGUAUAACAAUCGAAACCGCAUGGUUUUGAUUUGAAAGGCGCUUUCGGGUGUCGCUGAUGGAUGGACCCGCGGUGCAUUAGCUAGUUGGUGAGGUAACGGCUCACCAAGGCCACGAUGCAUAGCCGACCUGAGAGGGUGAUCGGCCACAUUGGGACUGAGACACGGCCCAAACUCCUACGGGAGGCAGCAGUAGGGAAUCUUCGGCAAUGGACGAAAGUCUGACCGAGCAACGCCGCGUGAGUGAAGAAGGUUUUCGGAUCGUAAAACUCUGUUGUUAGAGAAGAACAAGGAUGAGAGUAACUGUUCAUCCCUUGACGGUAUCUAACCAGAAAGCCACGGCUAACUACGUGCCAGCAGCCGCGGUAAUACGUAGGUGGCAAGCGUUGUCCGGAUUUAUUGGGCGUAAAGCGAGCGCAGGCGGUUUCUUAAGUCUGAUGUGAAAGCCCCCGGCUCAACCGGGGAGGGUCAUUGGAAACUGGGAGACUUGAGUGCAGAAGAGGAGAGUGGAAUUCCAUGUGUAGCGGUGAAAUGCGUAGAUAUAUGGAGGAACACCAGUGGCGAAGGCGGCUCUCUGGUCUGUAACUGACGCUGAGGCUCGAAAGCGUGGGGAGCAAACAGGAUUAGAUACCCUGGUAGUCCACGCCGUAAACGAUGAGUGCUAAGUGUUGGAGGGUUUCCGCCCUUCAGUGCUGCAGCUAACGCAUUAAGCACUCCGCCUGGGGAGUACGACCGCAAGGUUGAAACUCAAAGGAAUUGACGGGGGCCCGCACAAGCGGUGGAGCAUGUGGUUUAAUUCGAAGCAACGCGAAGAACCUUACCAGGUCUUGACAUCCUUUGACCACUCUAGAGAUAGAGCUUCCCCUUCGGGGGCAAAGUGACAGGUGGUGCAUGGUUGUCGUCAGCUCGUGUCGUGAGAUGUUGGGUUAAGUCCCGCAACGAGCGCAACCCUUAUUGUUAGUUGCCAUCAUUUAGUUGGGCACUCUAGCAAGACUGCCGGUGACAAACCGGAGGAAGGUGGGGAUGACGUCAAAUCAUCAUGCCCCUUAUGACCUGGGCUACACACGUGCUACAAUGGGAAGUACAACGAGUCGCGAAGUCGCGAGGCUAAGCUAAUCUCUUAAAGCUUCUCUCAGUUCGGAUUGUAGGCUGCAACUCGCCUACAUGAAGCCGGAAUCGCUAGUAAUCGCGGAUCAGCACGCCGCGGUGAAUACGUUCCCGGGCCUUGUACACACCGCCCGUCACACCACGAGAGUUUGUAACACCCGAAGUCGGUGAGGUAACCUUUUGGAGCCAGCCGCCUAAGGUGGGAUAGAUGAUUGGGGUGAAGUCGUAACAAGGUAGG